AGUGCAGGACGUCAUGUGACAGAAGAAACUGAUAGAUUCUUUACCAUUAAAAAGGAAAAUAUAGUUCUGUCCCUAAAACUUCUCUCUGCUUCACUGUAGACCUACAGAUGCCACAGGUUAAUAGCAAGUCCAAGGUCAAGAACAACACACAUGAAUUCCACAAAGCAACACAAGCAGAAAAUAUGAACGUGAAAGAAAUAUCAAUGCAUUUUGCUUCUGAGUGAAGCACUGUAAAGACAAAGACAAAGCCUCAGAAAGGAAAUGGGAGCAGCCUAUUGGCACAGCUGAAUAGAUUAUCAGAGAUUAAAGGCUGUGUGAAAUAAUUCUUUAAAAGGAACUCAGUCUGCAUUCAAGCACAAUUUAUGAAUGAACGGCUGAGGAUGGCCUGAGGGAAGUGAGCUGCAAUCAACACAGCCAAUUGAUAACAUCAUCACCGUAGUGGAAUGCUAAUAAUCCACCACAAGCAUAA